rnacentral:rRNA from 1 species
UACGGGGGGGGCAAGCGUUGUUCGGAAUUACUGGGCGUAAAGGGCUCGUAGGCGGCCAACUAAGUCGGAUGUGAAAUCCCCAGGCUUAACCUGGGAGCUGCAUCCGAUACUGGAUGGCUUGAAUCCGGGAGAGGGAUGCAGAAUUCCAGGUGUAGCGGUGAAAUGCGUAGAUAUCUGGAGGAAUACCGGUGGCGAAGGCGGCAUCCUGGACCGGCAUUGACGCUGAUGAGCGAAAGCUAGGGGAGCAAACGGG